AUGAACGCUAGCGACAGGCCUAACACAUGCAAGUCAGGGGCAGCACAAGGAGCAAUCUGAGGUGGCGACCGGCGCACGGGUGAGUAACACGUAUGCAACCUGCCUGUAAGCGGGGAAUAACCCGUUGAAAGACGGACUAAUACCGCAUAAUACUAAAUUACUGCAUGGUAAUUUAUUUAAACAUUUAUGGCUUACAGAUGGGCAUGCGCAUGAUUAGCUAGUUGGAGAGGUAACGGCUCCCCAAGGCAACGAUCAUUAGGGGUUCUGAGAGGAAGGUCCCCCACACUGGUACUGAGACACGGACCAGACUCCUACGGGAGGCAGCAGUGAGGAAUAUUGGUCAAUGGACGAGAGUCUGAACCAGCCAAGUCGCGUGCAGGAAGAAUGUUCCCUAUGGAUUGUAAACUGCUUUUGCAGGGGAAUAAAGUGCAUCACGUGUGAUGUUUUGUAUGUACUCUGCGAAUAAGGAUCGGCUAACUCCGUGCCAGCCGCAGC
rnacentral:rRNA from 1 species